UGGCGUCAGCUGAAAAUGAAGCCUGUGCUGUGCGGAGCGUCGCCUGCCCCUCACAAGCAUGGCGUCUGCAGAAGGUGCUGUGCGGCCGCUGCGGGGCGGCCAGCUGCCCUUCACAAACAUGGCGGCCGGGGGGUGCGGGGCGUGGCGGGGUAAGGAUGGGAAGCCGAGCAGACGGCCCCAGAACAAGCGGUCAUGUGACUGGGAAGAUGGCCGUCUUUCCUUGGCACUCCAGGAAUAGGAACUACAAAGCUGAAUUUGCAUCAUGCCGACUGGAGGCUGUACCAUUGGAGUUUGGGGACUAUCACCCUCUGAAACCCAUAACUGUCACAGAGUCAAAGACAAAGAAAGUGAACCGGAAAGGAAGCACUUCUUCCACGUCCUCCUCCUCCUCCAGCUCCGUGGUGGACCCGCUGAGCAGCGUCCUCGAUGGGACUGACCCCCUCUCCAUGUUUGCAGCCACUGCUGACCCCGCAGCCUUGGCAGCUGCCAUGGACAGCUCCAGAAGGAAACGUGAUAGAGAUGAUAACUCCGUUGUAGGAUCGGAUUUUGAGCCUUGGGCCAACAAACGGGGAGAAAUCCUUGCCCGGUACACCACUACCGAAAAGCUGUCUAUUAAUCUGUUUAUGGGAUCUGAAAAAGGCAAAGCUGGGACUGCCACACUGGCAAUGUCAGAGAAGGUUCGGACCCGGCUGGAGGAGCUGGAUGACUUUGAGGAGGGUUCCCAAAAGGAGCUGUUGAACUUGACUCAGCAGGAUUACGUGAACCGCAUAGAGGAGCUCAACCAAUCGCUGAAGGAUGCCUGGGCCUCAGACCAGAAAGUGAAGGCUCUAAAAAUAGUCAUCCAGUGUUCAAAGCUUCUUUCAGACACCAGUGUUAUUCAGUUCUACCCAAGCAAAUUUGUCCUUAUCACCGACAUACUUGAUACAUUUGGAAAGCUUGUGUACGAGCGCAUCUUUUCCAUGUGUGUGGAUAGCCGCAGCGUCUUACCAGAUCACUUUUCUCCAGAGAAUGCAAAUGACACGGCCAAGGAAACAUGCCUAAAUUGGUUUUUCAAGAUUGCCUCCAUCAGGGAACUCAUUCCAAGAUUUUACGUGGAGGCAUCCAUCCUGAAAUGUAACAAAUUCCUCUCCAAAACGGGAAUUUCAGAGUGCCUGCCCCGGUUGACAUGCAUGAUCAGAGGGAUCGGAGACCCACUGGUGUCGGUGUAUGCCCGUGCCUACCUGUGCCGGGUGGGAAUGGAAGUGGCCCCACAUCUCAAAGAAACCCUAAAUAAGAACUUUUUUGACUUCCUCCUUACGUUCAAACAGAUUCAUGGGGAUACGGUCCAGAACCAGCUGGUGGUCCAAGGAGUGGAGCUCCCAUCUUACCUCCCCUUGUACCCGCCUGCCAUGGACUGGAUCUUCCAGUGCAUCUCCUACCAUGCCCCCGAGGCUCUGCUGACUGAGAUGAUGGAAAGGUGUAAGAAACUAGGAAACAAUGCCUUGCUGUUGAAUUCUGUGAUGUCUGCCUUCCGGGCUGAGUUCAUCGCCACAAGGUCUAUGGAUUUCAUUGGCAUGAUUAAAGAGUGUGAUGAAUCUGGUUUCCCCAAGCAUCUCCUUUUUCGAUCACUGGGGUUAAACUUGGCCUUGGCUGAUCCUCCUGAGAGUGACCGACUUCAGAUUCUCAACGAAGCUUGGAAAGUCAUCACUAAGCUGAAGAACCCACAGGACUACAUUAAUUGUGCCGAAGUGUGGGUGGAAUACACCUGCAAGCAUUUCACGAAACGAGAGGUGAAUACCGUUUUGGCAGAUGUCAUCAAGCACAUGACUCCAGAUCGUGCAUUUGAAGAUUCCUACCCCCAGCUUCAGUUAAUAAUUAAGAAAGUUAUUGCCCACUUCCAUGACUUCUCAGUUCUUUUCUCAGUGGAAAAAUUUCUGCCGUUUCUGGACAUGUUCCAAAAAGAGAGUGUGCGGGUGGAGGUUUGCAAAUGCAUCAUGGACGCCUUUAUCAAGCAUCAACAAGAGCCCACCAAGGACCCGGUCAUCUUGAAUGCCCUUUUGCAUGUUUGCAAGACCAUGCAUGACUCUGUGAAUGCACUCACUCUUGAGGAUGAGAAAAGAAUGCUGUCAUAUUUGAUUAAUGGAUUUAUAAAAAUGGUUUCCUUUGGCCGUGAUUUUGAACAACAGCUGAGUUUUUAUGUUGAGUCCAGGUCGAUGUUUUGCAAUCUGGAGCCUGUUCUUGUGCAGUUGAUUCAUAGUGUGAACCGGUUGGCAAUGGAGACAAGAAAAGUAAUGAAAGGAAAUCAUUCCAGAAAGACAGCUGCAUUUGUCCGGGCCUGUGUUGCCUACUGCUUCAUCACCAUUCCCUCCCUGGCGGGCAUCUUCACACGUCUCAAUCUCUACCUGCAUUCUGGUCAGGUGGCCUUGGCCAACCAGUGCCUCUCCCAAGCUGAUGCUUUUUUCAAAGCCGCUAUAAGCCUCGUUCCGGAAGUUCCAAAGAUGAUUAAUAUUGACGGGAAGAUGCGGCCAUCAGAAUCGUUCCUUCUGGAAUUCCUCUGCAAUUUCUUUUCUACUUUAUUAAUAGUUCCGGAUCAUCCUGAACACGGGGUCCUGUUUCUUGUUCGAGAGCUUCUCAACGUGAUCCAGGACUACACCUGGGAGGACAACAGCGAUGAGAAAAUCCGCAUCUACACCUGCGUCCUGCAUCUCCUCUCUGCCAUGAGCCAGGAGACGUACCUUUACCACAUAGACAAAGUGGACUCCAACGACAGCCUCUACGGGGGAGACUCCAAGUUCCUGGCAGAAAACAACAAGCUGUGUGAGACGGUGAUGGCUCAGAUCCUAGAGCAUCUGAAAACCCUGGCCAAGGACGAGGCCCUGAAGCGCCAGAGCUCGUUGGGCCUUUCCUUCUUUAACAGCAUCUUGGCCCAUGGGGACCUACGCAACAACAAGCUCAACCAGCUCUCCGUCAACCUGUGGCACCUGGCACAGAGGCACGGCUGUGCAGACACCAGGACCAUGGUGAAAACGCUAGAAUACAUCAAGAAGCAAAGCAAACAACCAGACAUGACUCAUCUGACGGAGCUGGCCCUCAGACUCCCUCUGCAAACAAGGACCUGACCCCCGGGCCCAUCCCCAGGCUCAGCCACAAUUCUAAGCAGCAUGUGAUUCUGUCUGCUUUUCUUCCAACAGUUUGGUGGAACCUGAUUCUUCUAUUACGGCUGGGUCUUGAUAUGCUGCCUGGAACUGUUACUGCCAUCUUUGUACUAGCCUUGAUGAAGCCAACACUGGGGAUGAUGGAGAGAAUGCUUCCUUGGUGAGCUGUUGAACCAGGCCCUAAUCAGGCCUUCCUGCCACGUGAGACUGAACUUUCUGGCCAUCAAGGCCUGCCUGGGCUGGGAUGUCUGUAGGAGGCAUGUUCAGGCCAAAUAAUCGUGAAAAUGUCCCAGUCAGAACCUGUAUUUUGGGAUGCAAAAAGCUAGGUGAGUGGAAAGAAGGUGGUCACAGAUGGUCACAUGAGACUUGGGCCACUGGACCUGGAGCUCUUUGAGGCUUGCUGUAGAGUCCAGGCUUGGAAACGCUGUCCCCACAGCCGAUGAGGCAACUUCCCGUGUCAUCUCCACACGUUCAUCUCCUCCUGGCAUUCAAUAUCCACCUACAGAAGUCACCUGGGAUUCUCUUCCUUGUGAUAAAAAAGAAUCUCAUCAGACACAUCCCUGGGGCUGGGCACAGUGGCUCACACCUGUGAUCCCAGCUCUGGGGGGCUGAGGCAGGAGCAUGAGUUGAGUCCAGGAGUUUGGGACUAGCCUGGACAAUAUAGUGAGACCCCGUCUCUACAAAAAAUUUUAAACACUAGCUGGUUGUUGUGGUGCACACCCACAGUCCCAGCUACUUGGGAGGCUGAGGUGGGAGGAUCACUUAAGCUGGAUAGGUAGUGGUUGCAAUAAGCCGUGAUAUGCCACUACACUCCAGCCUGGGUGACAGAGUGAGACCCUAUCUCAAAACACACACAUACGUCCCUGGGAUCUGCCAUUGGUUCAUUUGCGGGACUAACCACUCUUCCUAAAAUGCCUUGUUCAGAAUCCAGUCAAAGCACAAAAAUCCUACCUCAGCACUUAGGGCCGAAGGGACACCAGUGGAAAAGGCAGGACUGGUUUAGAGGCACAUUUCCCAGCAGCAGCAGCUCAGUCACAUGUGUUUGGUAACAACUCAGACACCUCUCUGCCUACAGCUGCUCUAUGACAGGGGAAAGGAAAAGGAAGGAAAAGGAGCUUGUGAUUCUCCGUUCCUCAUUCACUCCACUUUUUAUCAGAGAUGCAGACUUGUCAUAAAACUUUUUCCUCCAUCUAAAGACAUUUCAAUCCCCAACGAGGAUUCUGGUGGAAAUUCCCUAAAGGGGACAUUCAGAGUGGCGAAUAGUGAACUUAGGGCUUCGGGUACAAAAGUACAACACCCUGCACUUAGUGGCUGGGUGACCCCAGGCAAUUUUAUUACUUUAUCCCUGAACCUCAGUUGCCUCAUCUAUAAGAUGGGGCUAAUAAUAGCACCCAUUUCAUAAUUAUGAAGAUUAAAUACAUUAAGGAAAACACUAGUAUGUCCCUAGCACCUGCUAAACACUCAACAAAGGUUAACUGUACAUACUGAUGUCUCAAACAGGGACGGAAUGUUUAACACAGAAAACAGGAGGUUUUAGCACUCACUCGUUCUCCUGGCUCCCGAAACAUGAGCUGCCCCGCCCCAGUUCAUCCAAGCCCAUCAAUAUAGUUGUCCUCGUCCUUAAUUUCCACAGGUGUUCAAUGUGAGCCAACUGUCAGAUGGCUUUCAUUUGCACAACUGAAUAAACCAUUUAUGCCUAGUGUUCCAUUAC